GGGGGCUCUAGUCAUAGCUCUGCCAGGUUCAAGGGUGUCAGCCCGGCUCACCCUGGCAGGGUCAGACUGUUUGGAGCCAAUGCACACUGGUCCAGGAUAGACGGGCCGCUCAGUCCACCCAGCAAGAGCCUUGCAUUGCCCCCAGCAAGGGCACAGGACUCCCCAAAGCCGGUGAGACCCCAGAGGAAUUCUGCUAAUUCCUACCACAGUUGUUCUGAGCACUGAGGCCUGGAGCUGCACGGCCAUCUCAGGAGCCCGAGGACGGAGGCUGCCUGGGUGCUCUCUCUUGGCUCCCUGCCUCUGGGAUGUAAAAGCCUCAGCCACAAGGGAAGACCACGGGCAGGCCCGCUGGCCCACGGCCCCUGCCAGGUUUCCAGCUAACAGCAAGUGUGCUCUGCCUGCUGUGUGAGCGUGCCACCCAGGCAGGCAACACACAGAACCAGGAGAGGUAACAUCCAUUGUCUGUCGGGCACUAAGCUGCCAGGUUCCGGGGUGGCUGGUUGGGCUGCAGCAGAUAAGCGGAACAGAGGAGGGAGACGAGGAAGGAUAAACAUGACUUUUUUUUUUGGCUGCACCCCAGGUAUGAGGACAUUCCUGGGCCAGGGAUUGAACCCGUGCCACAGCAGGGACCUGGGCCACAGCAGUGACAACACUGGAUCCUUCACCUGCGGCACCACAAGAGAAAUCCAACACUGAGUAGUUGGACUAGAGAAACAGAGAAAGGCAGAGGCAAAAAUGACUUCUCACAGCAAUGGCUGAGACAUGCCAGGCUGGGGCAAUUUGUGCUAUACCCUUGUGUUGUGUGAAGAGUGAUUUUGUUUCAGCAAAAUGGCAUCAACCGUUAUAUUCAACGAGAGCUGUUCAUCUGACUUUGCCUCGUACUUAUGUUUGUAUAUGUUUUCUUUUUGGGGGUGUGUUUUACUAUAGCAUAAGAUCUAUAAUCACAAGGGUUUAUCCUGGGUUUAUGUUUACUGUUUUAUUCUACUUUAUUAUUAUUAUUUUUUGCUGCUUUUAAAAAGCUUAGCGCUCCUUCAAGACUCAAGACAAACACUCCCUUCUCCAUAAAGUAUUUCCUGCUGUCCUUUCCGAACCAAGGGUGAAUUCUCCCUCACUUGACUUCCAAGGUAUAUCACAUCCUGCGCUGUGCUCUGGUCGUUGGUGUGCAUUCUUUUUCCUCCUAUUCCUUUUUGCCUUUUGAAAGAAGGACGUGUAUUUAAUUCAUUCGUAUUCUCCUCAGCCCUUGUCAGAGUAUCUUACAUAUUUUGGAUGUUUAAUAUUUAGUGAAUGAAUCAAUGAAAGAUUUGAGAAUGAAUUACAUACAUUUUGUAUUAUGUAUACAUACAUAUAUUUGGACAAUAACGCUGAAAAGUAGAAAAGUUCUGCAUAAUCGUGUAAUACAUAUUUGCCUGGUGUUUUAAAUAUAUGUUCCCUCUAAAUCAGGAGUGUAGUUCAGGCUGCUCUCCAGCAGCCCAUUAAAUAUCAUCUCUCUUUUUUUUUUAUUCUUUUGGGGGAGGCUGCACCCACGGCAUAUGGAGGUUCCCAGACUAGGGGUCGAAUCGGAGCUGUAGCCACCGGCCUACACCACAGCCACAGCAACAUGGGAUCCGAGCCUCGUCUGCGACCUACACCAUGGCUCAGGGCAAUGCCAGAUCCUUAACCCACUGAGCGAGGCCAGGGACUGAACCUGUGUCCUCAUGGAUCCUAGUCGGAUUCGUUUCCACUGCGCCACGACAGGAACUCCGGAAUAUUUUGGGAUUAAAAACACAUGAUGACCUUGAAAAGAAGGAAAGGAGACAGGAGGUCGUAGCACUGGCUGAGGUAAUGGCAGGAAAGCCCAGGACUAGACAGGGAAGCUGCUGAGGAUACAGCAGGGCUGCCGUCCCGGACGAGCUGGGGGUGGGGGAGACGCGUGCUGCAGAGAUAAAACCCCCACUGCCAGUCACGGAACUUUUGAGGAACAUCGACUAAAGAGAGAAAAAAACAACAACACGACCUUGCACCCCACGAGACAAAAGUGAACACAAAAGGAAGAGGACUUUAGAACGAGUGCAUUUCAUAGGGUCAGUACGUGCCAGGUGGAAAUCACAGCCAAUUAGGCUGUUUUGAAAGAAAAACGUAUGAAAAAGAGGACCAAGUGGAAGUCUUUGAAAUGAAAAAAUACCCCUUUAAAAUGUAAAAGUCAAAAAAAAGUAAAAGGCAGUAGCUAGUUUAAAUAAAAGAUUAGACUAGGCUGAAGCGUAAACCUAGAAGAUUUUUGUCCAAGGGUUCUCUUUGACGACAGCAAAAAUAAGGACAGACACUAGUAUAUGGAAGGUAAGAAUCACAGAGGAAAGAUGCAGAAGUUCCAACAUUCCUAAAAUAGGAAUGCCAGAGGGGAGAAUGGAGAGGUAGGAAUUAAAAAAAUACUCAGGAGUUCCCAUCGUGGCGCAGUGGUUAACAAAUCCGACUAGGAACCAUGAGGUUGCGGGUUCGGUCCCUGCCCUUGCUCAGUGGGUUAACGAUCCGGCAUUGCCAUGAGCUGUGGUGUAGGUUGCAGACGCGGCUCGGAUCUGGUGUUGCUGUGGCUCUGGCGUAGGCUGGCGGCUACAGCUCCGAUUCGACCCCUAGCCUGGGAACCUCCAUAUGCCACGGGAGCGGCCCAAGAAAUGGCAAAAAGACAAAAAAAAAAAUACAAUAAAAUAAAGACUCAGAAUGUCCCAGAACACAGAGCUUCCAUAUCAAACAGUCCUCUGAGUCUUGAGAAGAAUAAAAACAAACAGCUCCACCUAGACCUGGGGUAGUUAAGAAUGAAGAGAAAACCCUAAAGCUAUCAGAGAAAACCAGGCAGAUCACUUACAAAGGAAUGAGAACUAGACAGCUUAUCAGCCGCCUGACCUGCAAGAAGAUAACGGAGACGGAGCAUCAGAGUCCUGAGGAAAUCGUCUUUGAUCUUAGAAUCUGAUGCCGCAACCUCCCACUCAACAGAAGUAAAAUGAAAACAUUUUGGGGGCGUUCCCAUUGGGGCUCAGCAGUAACGAGCCCGACUAGGACUCAGGAGGAUGGGGGUUCGAUCCCUGGCCUUGCUCAGUGGGUUGAGGAUCUGGCAUGGCUGUGGCUGUGGUGUAGGCCGGCCGCUCCAGCUCCAGUUUGACCCCUAGCCUGGGAACUUCCGCAUGUCACGGGUGUGGCCCUAAAAAGACAAAAAAAAAAAAAGACAUUUUUGGAACUGCCAAGGCUAAGGCAGUUUAUGACCUCUAAGCCCUCCCUCAGCGAGCAGAGAACAUUCUCCAAGAAAAAGGAAUCUUGGAAGAGAAUGGGUUGCACGAAACCAAUGUGUCCAAAGAAAUUAGCAAAAGGGACCCUGUGCCCUAGGUACUGACCGUGAACUACUGUGGGGGUUUGAGAAUUACAGCUGUGACCAGAGGCACAGGGUCCAAGAGGAAUCGGCAGUUACCCGGUAGGCUUCUAACCACUUAUUUUGCGGCCAUCUGUCCCCAAUGUCCAGCAUUGCGCUUGAUGCAACUUAUUAAAAUUGCUGGCUGCAAGAGUGAAUUCAUGGACCGAUGACUGGUCCUGUCAGCGUGUGGCCUUUUCCAGAAUAUCGGCCUUUUCCAGAAUAUCAGCAUUUUCACAGAGCGAGAUUCACCGCCCCC
rnacentral:lncRNA from 1 species